rnacentral:rRNA from 1 species
UACGUAGGGGGCUAGCGUUGUCCGGAAUCAUUGGGCGUAAAGCGCGUGUAGGCGGUCCGGUAAGUCCGCUGUGAAAGUCGGGGGCUCAACCCUCGAAUGCCGGUGGAUACUGUCGGGCUAGAGUACGGAAGAGGCGAGUGGAAUUCCUGGUGUAGCGGUGAAAUGCGCAGAUAUCAGGAGGAACACCGAUGGCGAAGGCAGGUCUCUGGGCCAUAACUGACGCUGAGAAGCGAAAGCAUGGGGAGCGAACAGG